rnacentral:rRNA from 1 species
GACGAGGGGUCCUAGCGUUGUUCGGAAUCACUGGGCGUAAAGCGUAUGUAGGCGGCUUUUCAAGUCAGGUGUGAAAUCCCAUGGCUUAACCAUGGAACUGCAUUUGAAACUGUAAAGCUUGAGUAUUGGAGAGGACGGUAGAAUUCCUGGUGUAGUGGUGAAAUACGUAGAUAUCAGGAGGAAUACCGGUGGCGAAGGCGGCCAUCUGGCCAAAUACUGACGCUGAGAUACGAAAGUGUGGGGAUCAAACAGG